rnacentral:rRNA from 2 species
AGUACUCUGACUGUGCUAAGGUAGCGUAAUCAGUUGGCUUUUAAAUGGAGUCGAGUAUGAAUGGGUCUACGGAAACAAGCUGUCUCUUUUUGGUUAUAUUGAAGUUUCUUUAAGGGUGCAAAGUCCCUUGAUUAGAAAAAAGACGAGAAGACCCUUAGAGUUUUUAUAAGAAUUUAUUUAAGUUUUUGCUGGGGCGGCAAAGAGACAAAUAAACUCUCUUUUUAUUUUUUAGAAGACGAAGAUGUUAAGAAUCAUUAAACUACCUUAGGGAUAACAGCAUAAUUAAAUUUAGUUUGUGACCUCGAUGUUGGACUAGGAAGCUUUUGACCAGCAGUCAAAAAGUGUGGUUCUGUUCGAAC